AGAAUCCGUGAACAUGGCGAACGAGGUUAUCAAGUGCAAGGCUGCAGUUGCUUGGGAGGCUGGAAAGCCUCUCUCCAUAGAGGAGAUAGAGGUGGCACCCCCAAAGGCUCAUGAAGUUCGAAUCAAGAUCAUUGCCACUGCGGUUUGCCACACCGAUGCCUAUACCCUGAGUGGAGCUGAUCCUGAGGGUUGUUUUCCAGUGAUCUUGGGACAUGAAGGUGCUGGAAUUGUGGAAAGUGUUGGUGAGGGAGUUACUAAGCUGAAGGCGGGUAAGGAGAAUACUUGAACCACUUGUUUAAUAAUUUUGGCUUAUUCCUAUGGGGAAAUUGUUUUUCUGAUAAAACUACCCACUAUUUAUGAAUAGGUAUCAUCUAAGUAGAUUGUCAAGAUUAAGUUGAUUCCUCAUCUGGGAAGCACAAAUAUUUGGAUAUUUUUUUCUCUCUGAUUUUGCAGACUACUGUUUUUGUGAAACUUUUCUAAGUACAUUUCCAAAACCAAUUUUGGCAUAUUAAGCAAGAAUUUUUAGAGAUGCAUCAAUGAAGCAGGAUUUUGAAGCAUAUAACUUCAUUG
rnacentral:lncRNA from 1 species